rnacentral:tRNA from 1 species
GCCGGGGUGGCUCAGCUGCGGCCAGAGGUGGGCUUGAGCGUUGGACUCAUAAUCCAAAGGUCGCGGGUUCGACUCCCGCCCCCGGCACCA